AGAUUGAACGCUGGCGGCAUGCCUUACACAUGCAAGUCGAACGCGAAAGCGGAGCAAUCCGCAAGUAGAGUGGCGAACGGGUGAGUAAUACAUCGGAACAUUUCCAGUAGCGGGGGAUAACCUGUCGAAAGAUAGGCUAAUACCGCAUACGCCCCAAGGGGGAAAGCGGAGGACCGCAAGGCUUCGCACUAUUGGAGUGGCCGAUGUCGGAUUAGCUAGUUGGCGGGGUAAAAGCCCACCAAGGCUACGAUCCGUAGCUGGUCUGAGAGGACGAUCAGCCACACUGGAACUGAGACACGGUCCAGACUCCUACGGGAGGCAGCAGUGGGGAAUUUGGACAAUGGGCGCAAGCCUGAUCCAGCCAUGCCGCGUGAGUGAAGAAGGCCUUCGGGUUGUAAAGCUCUUUCGGUGGGAAGAAAGUGGUACGUGCUAAUACCACGGACUGAUGACGUACCGAAGAAGAAGCACGGCUAACUACGUAGCCAGCAGCCGCGGUAAUC
rnacentral:rRNA from 1 species